GCAGAUGUUCGCUACAAUCGAACAGGCUUAUUUGCGGGUUUAGCCUACAGAUGGUACCAAUAUAUUGGAACAAUUUAAGUCCCAACGGAAUUGUAGAAUUGUUCAAUAGGGUUGGUACAUGUACACGUUAAAAUUAGGCAAAUGUCUACAUACAAGGAAUGUUUGUCUUUUCUGGGUAACUAAUUGACUACAAUAAAUGAAUGCAACCAAUGAAAAUAAAACGACUUAUUUGAACCAGUAAAAAAGUUAAAAAAAAAAAAAAAAAAAAAAAUAGGUGUCAAAAGAGAAAGUGAAACUGUUUCAAACUCAAACGUCAUUUUGAAGACGGAGGACAAAGAGGAUGCAGUAAAAAAGGAAUAAAACUGGAUAAAAGAACGGAAGACUGUGCUGCAUGAAAAUCCCAGGAGGGCAGCUGUUUCUGUGAUGCUGGAACCACCACAUCUGGCACCAUCCAUAUGGCACAGUCAAAGUCGCUUAGAUCACACAUCUUGCCCAUUCUAAUAGAUAGGGGGCGCUGUUUCUAAAAUGAAUCUCUCAGAGGAGCCAAAGACCAAAGGAGGAACCCUCAGCAGUGAGAGGAAGAGGGUCCAGGUAGAAAGAGCAGGGUCACCUGUACCCAGCUGUGUGUCUCCGAAGAGUGAUCCUUCAAUGGAUCCUCCACUCACUUUCAAAGGAGAGUUCACAGGUGAUCAGAGGU